rnacentral:rRNA from 1 species
ACACUCCUGCGGGAGGCAGCAGUGGGGAAUUUUGGACAAUGGGCGAAAGCCUGAUCCAGCCAUGCCGCGUGCAGGAUGAAGGCCUUCGGGUUGUAAACUGCUUUUGUACGGAACGAAACGGCCUUUUCUAAUAAAGAGGGCUAAUGACGGUACCGUAAGAAUAAGCACCGGCUAACUACGUGCCAGCAGCCGCGGUAAUACGUAGGGUGCAAGCGCUAAUCGGAAUUACUGGGCGUAAAGCGUGCGCAGGCGGUUAUGUAAGACAGUUGUGAAAUCCCCGGGCUCAACCUGGGAACUGCAUCUGUGACUGCAUAGCUAGAGUACGGUAGAGGGGGAUGGAAUUCCGCGUGUAGCAGUGAAAUGCGUAGAUAUGCGGAGGAACACCGAUGGCGAAGGCAAUCCCCUGGACCUGUACUGACGCUCAUGCACGAAAGCGUGGGGAGCAAACAGGAUUAGAUACCCUGGUAGUCCCA